rnacentral:rRNA from 1 species
AUGCAAGUCGAGCGAACAGACGAGGAGCUUGCUCCUCUGACGUUAGCGGCGGACGGGUGAGUAACACGUGGAUAACCUACCUAUAAGACUGGGAUAACUUCGGGAACCGGAGCUAAUACCGGAUAAUAUAUUGAACCGCAUGGUUCAAUAGUGAAAGACGGUUUUGCUGUCACUUAUAGAUGGAUCCGCGCCGCAUUAGCUAGUUGGUAAGGUAACGGCUUACCAAGGCAACGAUGCGUAGCCGACCUGAGAGGGUGAUCGGCCACACUGGAACUGAGACACGGUCCAGACUCCUACGGGAGGCAGCAGUAGGGAAUCUUCCGCAAUGGGCGAAAGCCUGACGGAGCAACGCCGCGUGAGUGAUGAAGGUCUUCGGAUCGUAAAACUCUGUUAUUAGGGAAGAACAAAUGUGUAAGUAACUAUGCACGUCUUGACGGUACCUAAUCAGAAAGCCACGGCUAACUACGUGCCAGCAGCCGCGGUAAUACGUAGGUGGCAAGCGUUAUCCGGAAUUAUUGGGCGUAAAGCGCGCGUAGGCGGUUUUUUAAGUCUGAUGUGAAAGCCCACGGCUCAACCGUGGAGUGUCAUUGGAAACUGGAAAACUUGAGUGCAGAAGAGGAAAGUGGAAUUCCAUGUGUAGCGGUGAAAUGCGCAGAGAUAUGGAGGAACACCAGUGGCGAAGGCGACUUUCUGGUCUGUAACUGACGCUGAUGUGCGAAAGCGUGGGGAUCAA